CCUACGGGUGGCAGCAGUGGGGAAUCUUGCGCAAUGGGCGAAAGCCUGACGCAGCAACGCCGCGUGGGGGACGAAUGCUUUCUGAGUUGUAAACCCCUUUCAGCAGGAACGAUGAUGACGGUACCUGCAGAAGAAGCACCGGCCAACUACGUGCCAGCAGCCGCGGUGAUACGUAGGGUGCAAGCGUUGUCCGGAUUUAUUGGGCGUAAAGAGCUCGUAGGCGGUUCGAUAAGUCGGGUGUGAAACCCCCAGGCUCAACCUGGGGUCGCCACUCGAUACUGUCGUGACUUGAGUCUGGUAGGGGAUCACGGAAUUCCUGGUGUAGCGGUGGAAUGCGCAGAUAUCAGGAGGAACACCAGUAGCGAAGGCGGUGAUCUGGGCCAGUACUGACGCUGAGGAGCGAAAGCGUGGGGAGCGAACAGGAUUAGAUACCCGUGUAGUC
rnacentral:rRNA from 1 species